rnacentral:rRNA from 1 species
UACGUAGGGUGCGAGCGUUGUCCGGAAUUAUUGGGCGUAAAGGGCUCGUAGGCGGUUUGUCACGUCGGGAGUGAAAACUCGGGGCUUAACCCCGAGCCUGCUUCCGAUACGGGCAGACUAGAGGUAUGCAGGGGAGAACGGAAUUCCUGGUGUAGCGGUGAAAUGCGCAGAUAUCAGGAGGAACACCGGUGGCGAAGGCGGUUCUCUGGGCAUUACCUGACGCUGAGGAGCGAAAGCGUGGGGAGCGAACAGG